AUCCAUUUGACAAGUUCCAAAUAGGACGAAACGCGUGUCUUGAAU
rnacentral:hammerhead_ribozyme from 1 species